UACCAGCACCCCGAGUGGUCGGGACGUUUAUUGGGCCUAAAGCAUCCGUAGCCGGUUCUACAAGUCUUCCGUUAAAUCCACCUGCUUAACAGAGGGGCUGCGGAAGAUACUAUAGAGCUAGGAGGCGGGAGAGGCAAGCGGUACUUAGUGGGUAGGGGUAAAAUCCGUUGAUCCAUUGAAGACCACCAGUGGCGAAGGCGGCUUGCCAGAACGCACUCGACGGUGAGGGAUGAAAGCUGGGGGAGCAAACCGG
rnacentral:rRNA from 1 species